GGUAGGUGGUCAUUUUCUAUCUGUUCCUCUGAUCAUUUCCUAGACCUGCUUUGCAUUUAUUGAUUUAAAUGUUUAAGUAGGAAAUAAUAGUCCCUGAUUAUUAGAAUAUUGAAAUAGAAACAAAGUGUGCUCUGAAUCUGUCACCAAAAUGUUCUCAGUGACAGAGGCACACAAAAAAAAAUGUUUUCCGUUGUCAAGAAACAUGAAAACAGGAACUCAGUGCAGUGAUGUCAGUGUUAUAAAAAUGUAUUCUGAUCUCAAGCUGAGAUAAAAACUUUGCUCCUAUUUCAGACAUCUGCAUUUUUCUACAGACUGCAUUUGCAGCUUGAUGUGAAAGGAACAAUAUUUGACCAAAGCAGAACAACCCAUCAUUUUGCCUUAAGAUCAGGAUGGAGAACACCUUAUUCAGUCUGCGGUGCUUAAUGUUGUUGAACACUCUCCUCUGCUGUGGACAAACUCAAGAUCCUGUGCUGACAAUUCAGCCCAACUGGUCGACAUUUUAUAGUGGAGAGUCUGUUACUUUCAUCUGUGACAUGAAUGAAGGAAAAGAAACUGACUGGUAUUAC